CCAAACUCGACUGGGUUGUUAGUUUAAACACCAACCUGUAUACACAGUCAGGCAUGCAUUAUUAGCUCAAAAAAUACAUUGAAUUCGAUUGAUAGCUAAGGCGCUGAUGAUGUUGACCGCUGUCGAAACCUUCUGUUCCUACGAAUAGAAUGGGAAGUUAGGUCUAAAGCUUUGGUGUAUACUAGCCAGGGUUGAAGUUUGAGCAACGAGGGAUUGUUUAAGCGACUGAAUGAGAUAGAAUUCUCGUUGAUGCACCACGAAAAACUUGAGAAGCUUUGAAAAUGAUAUUCUUCAGUAAUGGUUUCUAGUAGCGCACGUGGACAGAAGGCGGACAAAAGAACUUCAAGAAACCUAUCCACAUAAGAUGGAAGUGUGCAAACUGAUCCUCAGCUUCCCGCCUUUUUACGUGGCUCGCUAUUGUUCCACAAGAAGCCCCUAAAAGGUUUUCUUUUGUUAUACUGAUAAACAUUUCGGCUUAUCUGUUAAAUGUAAACGACUUCUUUGGAACUUAGUAAAAUAAAAGCUUUCAACUCUA